rnacentral:lncRNA from 1 species
UCAAACUGGUUCGUUGUUUAAUUACUGGUACAGUUUAAUAUGAAUGCUAGAUGUUUUUUUUCUUUCUCAUUAACAAUAAAAUAAUUUUACUUUAUAAAAAUAAAGCUAGAUGUUAUAGGAUCCUACAUGACAAUUCAAUUCCAACCUUUUCUUUGUGUCUUUAGUUUGAGUAUUAAGGUUUGAAAAUUGUUGUAGUGAAACAAGUUAAAAGUUAAUUAAUAAAACAUAAUACAUGUUGUAUGAUUAUCCAGAAUUCCACUUGAACUCAAAUAUUCACAUACAAAUUGAAUCAACCUAAACUUUACUUAAAAGAAAAGGAAGAAAAAAAAAAGCAAAAAGAAAGAAGAAAAACUACUACAAUUAUUUCCAAGAAUUGGACAAUAGUAGAAACAAACAAAAGGGUUUCUAAGACUGCAUUUUCUUAAUAAACAAGAAGAAAUACCAUUGUAUCACCAACUUGGAAAAUCAUUAUGCAGCUUUGAUCAUCUUCAAUCUUAAAGCUAUCAAUAGGAUACUGUCAUCCAACUCAUGAAUAUCAUCAAGAACAAAUAUGCACACACAAACGAGUAUGAUGGUUUAUUGGAAUCUGUUUCUUGAUCUUGCUUUUGAUCCUGUUCUUGUUCUCCAAGUAUAAUCUUCAUCAUUUCUUGGUAGAAUUUCCAAGUAAUUAAAAGAUGUAUGACUUGAAAAAAUAUAGAAGGAAGAAAAAAUACAAUUCUAUCUAGCCAAUAACGAUGCCAUGUCCUAUGUGUGACAUAUAAAGCAGGAAUUGCCCAUGCUACACCAACUAUACCAAUCAUUGUGGCUUUCCUUUCUUGUACAUCUUUUAUUUCUUCCAUUUCCUCUAAUUUCAUAUUAUCUCCAUCUUUUUCCAUUUUCAGUUUGUGAUUUUCUGAAGGUUGAUAAUAUAAUUCCCUCCUUUCCCUCCUUGAGUUUUUUUUGGGUUAAGUUUUUUCCUUUUUUCCCUUCUCUUUGGAGAGGGGAGGGAGUGAGGGCAGGAAGCAAGGAGGAUGGGAGUCUAACUUCUUAGUUCUUACUGAUAAUGGAAAUAAACAAUAGUUUGGUAAAGAAAUAAAGAUUUU